rnacentral:rRNA from 1 species
UACGAGGGGGGCAAAUGUUGUUCGGAUUUACUGGGCGUGAAGGGCGCGUAGGCGGCAUGACAAGUCACUUGUGAAAUCUCCGGGCUUAACUCGGAACGGUCAAGUGAUACUGUCGCGCUAGAGUGCGGAAGGGGCAAUCAGAAUUCUUGGUGUAGCGGUGAAAUGCGUAGAUAUCAAGAGGAAUACCUGAGGUGAAGACGGGUUGCUAGGCCGACACUGACGCUGAAGCGCGAAAGCCAGGGGAGCAAACGGG